GACGAACGCUGGCGGCGUGCUUAACACAUGCAAGUCGAACGGAAAGGCCCUGCUUUUGUGGGGUGCUCGAGUGGCGAACGGGUGAGUAACACGUGAGUAACCUGCCCUUGACUUUGGGAUAACUUCAGGAAACUGGGGCUAAUACCGGAUAGGAGCUCCUGCUGCAUGGUGGGGGUUGGAAAGUUUCGGUGGUUGGGGAUGGACUCGCGGCUUAUCAGCUUGUUGGUGGGGUAGUGGCUUACCAAGGCUUUGACGGGUAGCCGGCCUGAGAGGGUGACCGGCCACAUUGGGACUGAGAUACGGCCCAGACUCCUACGGGAGGCAGCAGUGGGGAAUAUUGCACAAUGGGCGGAAGCCUGAUGCAGCAACGCCGCGUGCGGGAUGACGGCCUUCGGGUUGUAAACCGCCUUCGCCUGUGACGAAGCGUGAGUGACGGUAAUGGGUAAAGAAGCACCGGCUAACUACGUG
rnacentral:rRNA from 1 species